UGGGGGAUAUUGCACAAUGGGCGAAAGCCUGAUGCAGCGACGCCGCGUGGGGGAUGAAGGCCUUCGGGUUGUAAACUUCUUUUGCUCUGAACAAGGCAUGCCUUUGGGGUGUGUUGAGUGUAGGGGUUGAUUAGCGCCGGCUAACUACGUGCCAGCAGCCGCGGUAAUACGUAGGGCGCGAGCGUUGUCCGGAAUUAUUGGGCGUAAAGGGCUUGUAGUUGGCUGGUUGCGUCUGUCGUGAAAGCUCAUGGCUUAACUGUGGGUUUGCGGUGGGUACGGGCUGGCUUGAGUGCAGUAGGGGAGGCUGGAAUUCCUGGUGUAGCGGUGGAAUGCGCAGAUAUCAGGAGGAAUACCGGUGGCGAAGGCGGGUCUCUGGGCUGUUACUGACGCUGAGGAGCGCAAGCGUGGGGAGCGAACAGG
rnacentral:rRNA from 1 species